rnacentral:rRNA from 1 species
GUCUACGGCCAUGCUACCCUGAACAAGCCAGAUCCUGUCUGAUCUCGGAAGCUAAGCAGAGUUGGGCCUGGUUAGUACUUGGAUGGGAGAUCACCUAGGAAGACCAGGUACUAUAGGCG